GUGAGCCGGAUGCGGGAAAACCGCAUGUCCGGUUCGACGAGGGGGCGCUGUCGAGAAGGCAUGAAGCCUUGGCACGUAGUAGCCGCAUGCGGCGAGGCGUUAUGAAAGACAUUGGUGAAAUGCAUUAUUUUCAGCGCUCUACUCUAC
rnacentral:ncRNA from 1 species